UGUCGAUUGCUGUUCUUCUAUUACUUUGAUCGUCCCAGUUCCGGUCUCAAUUUUGAUCGCCAUGUCCAAAAGGGUUCUUUGCAAGUUCUUUGCCCAUGGAGCGUGUCUGAAGGGGGAGCAUUGUGACUUUUCACAUGAUUGGAAGGCUCCUCCUAAUAAUAUUUGCACCUUCUAUCAGAAAGGAUUCUGUGCUUAUGGUAGCCGAUGCAGAUAUCAACAUAUUAAGCCUUCUCAAUCUCAAUCCUUCACACCGUCUUCAUCGACAAGCUCUCAGCAAACUCCUGUUUCUGAUCCUUCAUGUACUUCGUCGAGUGGGGUUGCUCUAGUCCCGGGAGCCCUUACAGAGCUCUCUGCUUCAGGUAGGACUUCCGUUCUUCCCAAACAACCCGUGUGGAAGAAAAAGUAUGACCAACAUGAGUUUCUAGAGGAUGAGGAUGUUGGUGAGCCUACAAGUCUUAGACCGGCAGAUCAUCCUAUAUGUUCAUUUGCUGCGGCCGGUGAUUGUCCUCGUGGAGAAAAAUGCCCUCAUAUCCAUGGAGACUUGUGUCCCACAUGUGGAAAGCGUUGCUUGCAUCCUUUUAGACCUGAAGAGAAGGAGGAGCAUCUGAAAAUGUGUGAGAAAAAGCAGAAGCAUCUCGAAGCGUUGCAACAUAGUCAAGAAAUUGAAUGCAGUGUUUGCUUGGAGCGUGUUCUUUCAAAGCCCACAGCAGCUGAACGGAAGUUUGGAUUGAUGUCAGAAUGCGAUCACCCUUUCUGCAUAUCUUGCAUUAGGAAUUGGCGAAACAGUUCACCGACUUCCGGUUUGGAUGUCAAUAGUGCAUUAAGGGCCUGCCCAAUAUGUCGCAAGCUAUCAUAUUUUGUGGUUCCAAGUGUCAUUUGGUACACCACAAAAGAGGAAAAACAAGAAAUUGUUGACAGCUACAAGUCAAAGCUCAAGUCAAUUGAUUGCAAGCACUUUGACUUUGGUAAUGGGAAUUGCCCCUUUGGGACCAGUUGUUUUUACAAGCAUGCAUAUCGCGAUGGCAGUUUGGAGGAGGUAGUUUUGCGUCAUCUUGGCAAUGAAGAUGGUCAAACUGUGAUUGCUAAAAAUAUUAGGCUGUCGGACUUUUUAAGUGAAAUGCAUAUAGGGUGAUUCCCCAGUCUGUGCUAGAAUUAGUUUACUGUCCUUGCCUUGCUAAAUAUGCAGGGUAAUUUACUUGUAUGUUGAGAAAGAUACAUGAGAUUUCUUUCCUUGAAAAGUUUUCUUUUGCCGGUUGUACGCUUCCCUUCCUUACAAGAUUAGUUUUGUUGGAGAGCAAUACGAUGGUGGAAGAGUUUUAGCCUGGUUAUGCAGUCUCAUAAAGUUGGCUUCAUAUGAAGUGAUAAAAAAUAGAAACUGGUUUGGAGUAAACAAUUAUUAUAUACAUAAAGAAUGAUGGAUGAUGAUUACAUAACAGGAACAGCUGAGGAGUUUGAUCAUCAAACCCUGUCAAAUCUCAACGGCUUCCAAUGGUGAAAUUUUGAAUAAAUCUCUUGUGGACUGUAAUAAUCGAAUAUUUAUGUUCUUCAUCAUGUCUCUUGUUUUGCUUCUCAAAUAUAACUGUUUUUGACAACUGUUUAGAUUUUGCAUGCCCUACAUUUUAUUUUCAU